rnacentral:rRNA from 1 species
GGCGUGCUUAACACAUGCAAGUCGAACGAUGAAGCAGGGCUUGCCCUGUGGAUUAGUGGCGAACGGGUGAGUAACACGUGGGCAACCUGCCCCUGACAUUGGGAUAACUCCGGGAAACCGGGGCUAAUCCCGGAUACGAACCUCGACGGCAUCGUCGAGGUUGGAAAGUUCUUCGGUCAGGGAUGGGCCCGCGGCCUAUCAGCUUGUUGGUGGGGUAAUGGCCUACCAAGGCGACGACGGGUAGCCGGCCUGAGAGGGCGACCGGCCACACUGGGACUGAGACACGGCCCAGACUCCUACGGGAGGCAGCAGUGGGGAAUAUUGCGCAAUGGGCGAAAGCCUGGCGCAGCGACGCCGCGUGAGGGACGACGGCCUUCGGGUUGUAAACCUCUUUCAGCAGGGACGAAGCGAAAGUGACGGUACCUGCAGAAGAAGCACCGGCCAACUACGUGCCAGCCGCCGCUGUAAGAC